AAGCACAGAGGAGCUUCCUCCUUGGGUGGCGAGUGGCGGACGGGUGAGGAAUACAUCGGAAUCUGCCUAUUUGUGGGGGAUAACGNAGGGAAACUUACGCUAAUACCGCAUACGACCUACGGGUGAAAGCGGAGGACCUUCGGGCUUCGCGCAGAUAGAUGAGCCGAUGUCGGAUUAGCUAGUUGGCGGGGUAAAGGCCCACCAAGGCGACGAUCCGUAGCUGGUCUGAGAGGAUGAUCAGCCACACUGGAACUGAGACACGGUCCAGACUCCUACGGGAGGCAGCAGUGGGGAAUAUUGGACAAUGGGCGCAAGCCUGAUCCACCCAUGCCGCGUGGGUGAAGAAAGGCUCUUCCGGUUGUAAAGCCCUUUUGUUGGGAAAGAAANGCAGUCCGGUUAAUACCCGAUUGGUCUGACGGUACCCCAA
rnacentral:rRNA from 1 species